GGCGCGGCCUUUGAAGUCUGCGGCUGCCGCUUUCAUCCUUUCUUUUUUCCCUCGCAGGCCCCUUUGUGUGACUAAAUUUGGCAAGAAUAUGAAUCCGAGCCAGUCUUUCCACGUGUGCUCCCAGCUCCCAGCUGAGAAGGCCAAGGGUUCUCUUCCGGAUCACCAAUAUACAUAGAACAGACAGAAGCCGUUCACCCUUCCUCGUGGAUGACACCUCACAUGCCGGGCGCCCCCCGCCUGUGCUUCCGUGGUGGUGGCCCGUCCCUCCCACGCAAUCAGUCAGGACUGGGGCCUCAGAUCGAAAUGACCGUGAAAGGGAAGUGUUUUGAAUCCAUUCAGGACAUCAAGGCAGCCAGGACAGCUCAGCUAAAGAAGCUCAGGAAAGAGGACUCCAGAGCUGCCACAGAAAGCGGCGAGAACCAGAGGAUGAGUGUGUAUGGGGCCAGGAGAAGGAUUUCGAGGGGGAUUAAUAUCGAUGUCUCUUCUGUUGCAAUAUAUUAAAACAUU